rnacentral:rRNA from 1 species
GACGAACGCUGGCGGCGCGCCUAACACAUGCAAGUCGAACGAGCGAGGGAGAGCUUGCUUUCUUGCGCGAGUGGCGCACGGGUGAGUCACCCGUGAGGAACCUGCCUCCAAGAGGGGGACAACAGUUGUAAACGACUGCUAAUACCGCAUAAGCCCACGUUGCCGCAUGGCACAGCGGGAAAAGGAGCAAUCCGCUUUGAGAUGGCCGCGCGUCCGAUUAGCUAGUUGGUGAGGUAACGGCACAACAAGGCGGCGAUCGGUAGCCGGACUGAGGGGUAGAACCGACACAGGGGGACAGAGACACGGCCGAGACUUCCACGGGAGGGAGGAGUGGGGAAUACUGCAAAAGGGGGGAAACUGUGAGGGCGCGGCGGCGCGGAGAUGAAGAAGGUCUGCGGAGUGUAAAUUCUUGUUGUGGGAGAAGAUAAUGACGGUACCCAACAAAUAAGUGACGGCUAACUACGUG